rnacentral:rRNA from 1 species
GAUGAACGCUGGCGGCGUGCUUAACACAUGCAAGUCGAACGGAGUGCCUUUGAAAGAGGAUUCGUCCAAUUGAUAAGGUUACUUAGUGGCGGACGGGUGAGUAACGCGUGAGGAACCUGCCUUGGAGUGGGGAAUAACACAGUGAAAAUUGUGCUAAUACCGCAUAAUGCAGUUGGGUCGCAUGACUCUGACUGCCAAAGAUUUAUCGCUCUGAGAUGGCCUCGCGUCUGAUUAGCUAGUUGGUGGGGUAACGGCCCACCAAGGCGACGAUCAGUAGCCGGACUGAGAGGUUGGCCGGCCACAUUGGGACUGAGACACGGCCCAGACUCCUACGGGAGGCAGCAGUGGGGAAUAUUGGGCAAUGGGCGCAAGCCUGACCCAGCAACGCCGCGUGAAGGAAGAAGGCUUUCGGGUUGUAAACUUCUUUUCUUAGGGACGAAGCAAGUGACGGUAC